rnacentral:rRNA from 1 species
UCGGGAAUUUUGGGCAAUGGGCGAAAGCCUGACCCAGCAACGCCGCGUGAAGGAUGAAGUAUUUCGGUAUGUAAACUUCGAAAGAAUAGGAAGAAUAAAUGACGGUACUAUUUAGAAGCUGCGGCUAACUACGUGCCAGCAGCCGCGGUAAUACGUAGGCAGCGAACGUUGUUCGGAGUUACUGGGCGUAAAGAGUGCGUAGGCGGUUCGCUAAGUCUGGUGUGAAAUCUCCCGGCUUAACUGGGAGGGUGCGCUAGAUACUGGCGGGCUUGAGUAUGGGAGAGGAAAGCGGAAUUCCUAGUGUAGAGGUGAAAUUCGUAGAUAUUAGGAAGAACACCAGUGGCGAAGGCGGCUCACUGGCCCGAUACUGACGCUGAGGUGCGAAAGCGUGGGGAGCAAACAGGAUUAGAUACCCAUGUAGUCCCUGAGCGGGCUGGCAAGGCGCAU